CAGGCUUAACACAUGCAAGUCGAGGGGCAGCAUUUCAGUUUGCUUGCAAACUGGAGAUGGCGACCGGCGCACGGGUGAGUAACACGUAUCCAACCUGCCGAUAACUCGGGGAUAGCCUUUCGAAAGAAAGAUUAAUACCCGAUGGUAUAAUCAGACCGCAUGGUCUUGUUAUUAAAGAAUUUCGGUUAUCGAUGGGGAUGCGUUCCAUUAGGCAGUUGGUGAGGUAACGGCUCACCAAACCUUCGAUGGAUAGGGGUUCUGAGAGGAAGGUCCCCCACAUUGGAACUGAGACACGGCCCAAACUCCUACGGGAGGCAGCAGUGAGGAAUAUUGGUCAAUGGGCGCAGGCCUGAACCAGCCAAGUAGCGUGAAGGAUGACUGCCCUAUGGGUUGUAAACUUCUUUUAUAUGGGAAUAAAGUAUUCCACGUGUGGAAUUUUGUAUGUACCAUAUGAAUAAGGAUCGGCUAACUCCGUGCCAGCAGCCGCGGUAAUACGGAGGAUCCGAGCGUUAUCCGGAUUUAUUGGGUUUAAAGGGAGCGUAGGUGGAUUGUUAAGUCAGUUGUGAAAGUUUGCGGCUCAACCGUAAAAUUGCAGUUGAAACUGGCAGUCUUGAGUACAGUAGAGGUGGGCGGAAUUCGUGGUGUAGCGGUGAAAUGCUUAGAUAUCACGAAGAACUCCGAUUGCGAAGGCAGCUCACUAGACUGCAACUGACACUGAUGCUCGAAAGUGUGGGUAUCAAACAGGAUUAGAUACCCUGGUAGUCCACACAGUAAACGAUGAAUACUCGCUGUUUGCGAUAUACAGUAAGCGGCCAAGCGAAAGCAUUAAGUAUUCCACCUGGGGAGUACGCCGGCAACGGUGAAACUCAAAGGAAUUGACGGGGGCCCGCACAAGCGGAGGAACAUGUGGUUUAAUUCGAUGAUAUCGCGAGGAACCUUACCCGGGCUUAAAUUGCAUUUGAAUAAUCUGGAAACAGGUUAGCCGCAAGGCAAAUGUGAAGGUGUUGCAUGGUUGUCGUCAGCUCGUGCCGUGAGGUGUCGGGUUAAGUGCCAUAACGAGCGCAACCCUUAUCUUUAGUUAGUAACAGGUGAUGAUGAGGACUCUAGAGAGACUGCCGUCGUAAGAUGUGAGGAAGGUGGGGAUGACGUCAAAUCAGCACGGCCCUUACGUCCGGGGCUACACACGUGUUACAAUGGGGGGUACAGAAGGCAGAUACCUGGCGACAGGAUGCUAAUCCCAAAAACCUCUCUCAGUUUGGAUAGAAGUCUGCAACCCGAUUUCGUGAAGCUGGAUUCUCUAGUAAUCGCGCAUCAUCCAUGGCGCGGUGAAUACGUUGCCCUGGGCCUUGUUCACACCGCCCGUCAAGCCAUGAAAGCCGGGGGUACCUGAAGUACGUAACCGCAAGGAGCGUCCUAGGGUAAAACUGGUAA
rnacentral:rRNA from 1 species